AUUGAACGCUGGCGGAAUGCUUUACACAUGCAAGUCGAACGGCAGCACGGGGGCAACCCUGGUGGCGAGUGGCGAACGGGUGAGUAAUACAUCGGAACGUGCCCAGUCGUGGGGGAUAACGUAGCGAAAGUUACGCUAAUACCGCAUACGAUCUACGGAUGAAAGCGGGGGACCGUAAGGCCUCGCGCGAUUGGAGCGGCCGAUGUCAGAUUAAGUAGUUGGUGAGGUAAGGGCUCACCAAGCCGACGAUCUGUAGCUGGUCUGAGAGGACGACCAGCCACACUGGGACUGAGACACGGCCCAGACUCCUACGGGAGGCAGCAGUGGGGAAUUUUGGACAAUGGGCGCAAGCCUGAUCCAGCCAUUCCGCGUGCAGGACGAAGGCCUUCGGGUUGUAAACUGCUUUUGUACGGAACGAAAAGGCUCUGGUUAAUACCUGGGGCUCAUGACGGUACCGUAAGAAUAAGCACCGGCUAACUACGUGCCAGCCGCCGCAGUAA
rnacentral:rRNA from 1 species